rnacentral:rRNA from 1 species
UACGAAGGGGGCUAGCGUUGCUCGGAAUGACUGGGCGUAAAGGGCGCGUAGGCGGAUGGCACAGUCAGAUGUGAAAUUCCCGGGCUUAACCUGGGGGCUGCAUUUGAUACGUGUUGUCUAGAGUGAGGAAGAGGGUUGUGGAAUUCCCAGUGUAGAGGUGAAAUUCGUAGAUAUUGGGAAGAACACCGGUGGCGAAGGCGGCAACCUGGUCCUUGACUGACGCUGAGGCGCGAAAGCCAGGGGAGCAAACGGG